rnacentral:piRNA from 1 species
UGAUGUGACACUCAAAGUGGACCAGUGCCUA